rnacentral:rRNA from 1 species
GAUGAACGCUAGCGGCAGGCCUAAUACAUGCAAGUCGGACGGGAUUCAGGAGCUUGCUUCUGAUGAGAGUGGCGCACGGGUGCGUAACACGUAUGUAACCUACCUUUAUCAGGGGGAUAGCCUCUCGAAAGAGAGAUUAAGCCCGCAUAAAAUCACAGCACAGCAUUGUGUAAUGAUCAAAUAUUUAUAGGAUAAAGAUGGGCAUGCGGAGCAUUAGCUAGAUGGCGGGGUAACGGCCCACCAUGGCGACGAUGUUUAGGGGAUCUGAGAGGAUGGCCCCCCACACGGGUACUGAGACACGGACCAGACUCCUACGGGAGGCAGCAGUAAGGAAUAUUGGGCAAGGGGCGGAAGCCUGAACCAGCCAUGCCGAGUGCAGGAAGACGGCCCUACGGGUUGUAAACUGCUUUUAUACGGGAAUAAACCCAGAUACGUGUAUCUGGCUGAAUGUACUGUAAGAAUAAGGAUCGGCUAACUCCGUG